GAACUCUGGAGAAUCUCACUUUGAGUGGGUGCCGAAGGUGCAAGGGGCAAAACCCCGAAUCUCUCAGGCAAAAGGACAGAGCC
rnacentral:ncRNA from 1 species